GUAAUAGUUAUGUUCUUGAAACUUAAAAAAUUUGGCGGUAUUUUAGUCUAUUCAGAGGAAUUUGUUCUGUAAUUGAUAAUCCACGUUGGACCUUACUUAAUUUUGUUAAACAGUUUAUAUACCGUUGUUAUCAGAAUAUUUUAAAAGAAUAAUAAUUUUCUAUAAUUUUAAUUUAAAUUUAUUUCAAAUCAAGGUGUAGCUUAUAAUUAAGUAGUAAUGAAUUACAAUAAAUUUAUUUAUAUGAAUAUAAAUUUGAAAUAAAUUAUUGAAAGUGGAUUUGAAAGUAAAAUUAUAUAGAU
rnacentral:rRNA from 1 species